rnacentral:rRNA from 1 species
CCUACGGGAGGCAGCAGUGGGGAAUAUUGCACAAUGGGGGAAACUCUGAUGCAGCGACGCCGCGUGAGUGAAGAAGUAUUUCGGUAUGUAAAGCUCUGUCAGUAGGGAAGUAAAUGACUGUACCUGACCAAGAAGCCCCGUCUAACUACGUGCCAGCAGCCGCGGUAAUCCGUAGGGGGCAAGCGUUAUCCGGAUUUACUGGGUGUAAAGGGAGCGUAGACGGCAGGGCAAGUCUGGAGUGAAAGGCGGGGGCUCAACCCCCGGACUGCUCUGGAAACUGCCAGGCUGGAGUGCAGGAGAGGUAAGUGGAAUUCCUAGUGUAGCGGUGAAAUGCGUAGAUAUUAGGAGGAACACCAGUGGCGAAGGCGGCUUACUGGACUGUAACUGACGGUGAGGCUCGAAAGCGUGGGGAGCAAACAGGAUUAGAUACCCCAGUAGUC